rnacentral:misc_RNA from 1 species
UGUACUGAAAUGGUUGAGUGCUCGUGUGUAUAUGCUGAAUUUGCCUUAUAAUAUUGGAAUGUGUAUAACCUUCUAAAUAUAAACACGGAAAAUAUGUUACCUGUUAAGUAAAUAUAAAGUUUAAUACACCGAGAAUAUGAUUUACAAGCGAUAGCAUAUGAAUCUUUUUAUUUUCUGUUUUAUUUAAAGAAAUGUUCAGACAUUACAGGGAUGACUUAAAUACAAUUGUCAGUUGUUGUUGUUGUUCUGGGCGGAUGUAUCUCUAUUAUAAAUACAGUUGACGUACGCCUGAAAGAUGGACAAGCGGAAAAUCAAGGGCGAGUUGAAGUGAGAAGAAAUGCUAAUGAAACAUGGGGGAAGGUUUGUGAUUACAAUUUUGGAGAAGAGGAGGCGUCCGUUGUCUGCAGGCAAUUAAAUUACAAAUAUUCUCGAAGAGAUGAAAAUGUUUAUAUUCCUGAAUACCCAGAUUAUCGACUUGAAAACUUCAAAUGUAAUGGGAAUGAAAGUAAAUUUGAUGAAUGCAUUGAAAGAGAGUGGAAAACCGGUACAGGAAUAUGUAACGUAAGAUCAAAUGCUUACGCCAGCGUAUGUUGUUCAAAUUCACCGACAUUUGGAGAGAUGCAUGAAGGCAUGUUUGUGAGUCACUGUGCAGAUAGUUGGGUUGAUGCUGAAGAAAUAUGUGAAGGAAAAGAAGCGACACUCGCAACUUCAGGCGAAUAUAAGAACAUUCUUGGGUCUGUUCAUAAACUCAAAGAAAAUGAGAACAAUGAAAACAAAGGCUACUGGACAAGGAGUUUCUUUACGCCAUGGAUAUGGUCAAAUGGUUGCUACCAGUUCAAUGAGGAGACUUUUGUAUUUCAAGAGUUCAAUUUAGAAAACAACACUGCUCAGGCUUGCCUUCAGAUGUGCAGUAUAGCCUCAGAACCAUCAGCGUUCCUUCUUUCUGGACAGUCUUGCCGCUGCAUGCCAACUGAAUCGUUGAAAUCCAAUAUAAGCGAAGUAUUCCCGGGAUGGUGCAAUAAAAAAUGUUUAGGGGAUUCUUCAUAUUUCUGUGGGUCUGGCGUAUCUGGUUCCGGCACGUACUGGAGUCUUUAUACUAAAGCAUCGGAAGAUAUUUUCUACAGGAUAUCAGACCCACAAACAUACCAAUACAAACAAUGUGCUAUUUUGGAAACAUCUACAAAACUAUCAUCCGAAAACUGUUAUAAACGUGUGGGCUACAUCUGUGGACAGAUUUUGCAAGAGAAUAAUACAUUACCAAAGCUUAUGUUUUUCCAAAAUAGCCGAUUUUAUGAAGUGAUCAUGCUCGAGGCUCGUGCGAAAUGUACUAGUGACGACAGUACGAUGCGGCUGAUUGGCUGAGAAAGUCCUUGAUCCAGAUGUGAUAUUUUCCCAACCAUUUGACAACCUUUGGGUUGAUAUUUCAAGGGUACUUGCAGACGUAUAUACAAUUUACUGGGAACCAAAAAAUCGUGGAGAAACUAGUCUAUGGAGAAACUUGGAACCCGGAUGGUGUAUGGCUACGCGUCAAAGAGACAUCUAUUUAUCUGAUGAAAUCACAGCCUGUCAAACCAAGUUCAGAUAUAUUUGCUCAAUAA